GCUGGGAGCUGCUGGCUCUGUGCAGGCUGGGAGCUGCUGGCUCUAUUCAGGCUGGGAGCUGCUAGCUCUGUGCAGGCUGGGAGCUGCUGGCGCUGUCCAGGCUGGGAACUGCUGGCUCUAUGCAGGCUGGGAACUGCUUUGUCUGUGCAGGCUGGGAGCUGCUGGCUCUGUGCAGGCUGGGAGCUGCUGGCUCUGCGCAGGCUGGGAGCAGCUGGCGCUGUCCAGGCUGGGAGCUGCUAGCUCUG